UACGUAGGGUGCGAGCGUUAAUCGGAAUUACUGGGCGUAAAGCGUGCGCAGGCGGUUUUGUAAGUCAGAUGUGAAAUCCCCGGGCUUAACCUGGGAACUGCGUUUGAAACUACAAGGCUAGAGUGUGGCAGAGGGGGGUGGAAUUCCACGUGUAGCAGUGAAAUGCGUAAAGAUGUGGAGGAACACCGAUGGCGAAGGCAGCCCCCUGGGUUAACACUGACGCUCAGGCACGAAAGCGUGGGGAGCAAACAGG
rnacentral:rRNA from 1 species